CCUCUUUUCUUGGCAUACUGUGUUUUCCUGUUCAUGUUUGUGUAUGUGAUGGAGGAAAAUAUAAGUCCAGUGAAAUGUCUUCUGUGCCAGAAAGUUAGCCAUCUUCUGGUUCUAUCCUCAGUCACUGGCACAGUC
ensembl:snoRNA